UACGGGGGGAGCAAGCGUUGUUCGGAUUUACUGGGCGUAAAGGGCGCGUAGGCGGCUUUGCGUGUCUUUCGUGAAAUCCCUCGGCUCAACUGAGGACGUGCGGAAGAAACUGCAGGGCUGGAGUCCGGGAGAGGAGGGUGGAAUUCCCAGUGUAGCGGUGAAAUGCGUAGAUAUUGGGAGGAACACCGGUGGCGAAGGCGGCCCUCUGGACCGGUACUGACGCUGAUGCGCGAAAGCGUGGGGAGCAAACGGG
rnacentral:rRNA from 1 species